rnacentral:snRNA from 1 species
GUGCUUGCUUCGGCAGCACAUAUACUAAAAUUGGAAUGAUACAGAGAAGAUUAGCAUGGCCCCUGCGCAAGGAUGACAUGCUAAUUAGUGAAGCUGAAGCGUUCCAU